rnacentral:rRNA from 1 species
CCUACGGGAGGCAGCAGUGAGGAAUAGGGGGCAAUGGACGAGAGUCGGAACCAGCCAAGGAGCGUGAAGGAUGACUGCCCGAUGGGUUGUAAACUUCUGUUAUAGGGGAAUAAAAUGUGCCACGUGUGGGAUUUUGUAUGUACCAUAUGAAUAAGGAUCGGCUAACGCCGUGCCAGCAGCCGCGGGAAUACGGAGGAUCCGAGCGUUAUCCGGAUUUAUUGGGUUGAAAGGGAGCGUAGGUGGAUUGUUAAGUCAGUUGUGAAAGUUUGCGGCUCAACCGUAAAAUUGCAGUUGAAACGGGCAGUCUUGCGUACAGUAGAGUUGGGCGGCCUUCGUGGUGUAGC